rnacentral:rRNA from 1 species
UACGGAGGGUGCGAGCGUUGUCCGGAAUCAUUGGGCGUAAAGGGCGCGUAGGCGGCUCGUUAAGGGUGCGGUGAAAGCCCGGGGCUUAACCCCGGGUCGGCCGUGCCGACUGAUGAGCUCGAGCACUGUAGAGGCAGGUGGAAUUCCGGGUGUAGCGGUGGAAUGUGUAGAGAUCCGGAAGAACACCAGUGGCGAAGGCGGCCUGCUGGGCAGUGGCUGACGCUGAGGCGCGACAGCGUGGGGAGCAAACAGG